rnacentral:rRNA from 1 species
UGUAAGUUGGGCGUGAAAGCUCCGGGCUUAACCCGGAGAGGCCGGUUCAAUACUGCAUAACUUGAGGGUGUCAGAGGGGACCGGAAUUCCCGGUGUAGCGGUAAAAUGCGCAGAGAUCGGGAGGAACACCAGUGNCGGAGNCGGUUCCCUGGGGCACACCUGACGCUGAGAGACGAAAGCUAGGGGAGCGAACAGGAUUAGAGACCCUGGUAGUCCUAGCCCUAAACGAUGAAUGCUAGGUGUGGGAUCGAAUGGUUCCGUGCCGGAGCGAACGCGAUAAGCAUUCCGCCUGGGGAGUACGGCCGCAAGGUUAAAACUCAAACGAAUUGACGGGGCCCCGCACAAGCAGCGGAGCGUGUGGUUUAAUUCGAUGCUACACGAAGAACCUUACCUGGGUUUGACAUGUAGGUGGUAGUGAAUCGAAAGGUGAACGACCCUUCGGGGAGCCUACACAGGUGCCGCAUGGCUGUCGUCAGCUCGUGCCGUGAGGUGUCGGGUUAAGUCCCGUAACGAGCGCAACCCUUGCUCCUAGUUACAAGUGUCUAGGGGGACUGCCGGCGGAAAGCCGGAGGAAGGUGGGGAUGACGUCAAGUCAGCAUGGCCCUUAUAUCCAGGGCUACACACACGCUACAAUGGUCGGUACAAAGGGCAGCGAAACCGCGAGGCGGAGCGAAUCCGAGAAAAGCCGAUCGUAGUUCGGAUAGCAGGCUGCAACCCGCCUGCUUGAAGCUGGAGUUGCUAGUAACCGCGCGUCAGCCAUAGCGCGGUGAAUACGUUCCCGGGGCUUGUACACACCGCCCGUCACGUCAUGGGAGUCGGUAACGCCUGAAGCCGGUAGUCUAACUGGAAACAGGAGACGCUGUCGAGGGCGGGACUGGCAACUGGGACGAAGU